rnacentral:lncRNA from 1 species
AUCGAGGAAUUGGAGAAUGAAUUAGAGGAGUCGAGAAAGAAGUGUGCCAGACUUUCUUCUCACUUGGAAAGCCAGAGAAUGCAAAUGCUUACAGGACAACGAUCAUAACAUCAGGUGGUGACGGCAUUCAUGAAAUGGUACGUUAUUUUGACCAUGUUUGGCUAAGCUCAAAAGUAGCUUCUUUGGAGUAUGUAGUCUUUAUGGCUUCUUUGAGAAGUUGUAGGCAUGCAUAUUUGGUCAACUGCAAAUUUUAUGAUUAUAUCAUAUGAAGCUCGCGUUUCUCCUCACCAUCUCGACACCCCUGUGCACGUACAAAUGAAGUUUAGUAUGUUCUAUACAUGCUUGUCGAUUAACAAAAUGGCAUGUCAUUAUUGUUUAGCACGGUGCAAAGUAGAUCAUUUCUCUUACGUUGUACAUUAAGAUUUCACAUGCUGUACUAACUUGUUGAGGGGAGAUGGAACACUGGUCAUCAUACAAAUAUAUCCAUCUUGAAAGGAGUUGUCGAUGGACGUUAAUCGAUCUGAAGUGAUGGUUGAUUAUGUUGAAGUACCCUACGANNN